GGUUAAGCGACUAAGCGUACACGGUGGAUGCCCUGGCAGUCAGAGGCGAUGAAGGACGUGCUAAUCUGCGAUAAGCGUCGGUGAGGUGAUAUGAACCGUUAUAACCGGCGAUUUCCGAAUGGGGAAACCCAGUGUGUUUCGACACACUAUCAUUAACUGAAUCCAUAGGUUAAUGAGGCGAACCGGGGGAACUGAAACAUCUAAGUACCCCGAGGAAAAGAAAUCAACCGAGAUUCCCCCAGUAGCGGCGAGCGAACGGGGAGGAGCCCAGAGCCUGAAUCAGUGUGUGUAUUAGUGGAAGCGUCUGGAAAGGCGCGCGAUACAGGGUGACAGCCCCGUACACAAAAAUGCACAUGCUGUGAGCUCGAUGAGUAGGGCGGGACACGUGGUAUCCUGUCUGAAUAUGGGGGGACCAUCCUCCAAGGCUAAAUACUCCUGACUGACCGAUAGUGAACCAGUACCGUGAGGGAAAGGCGAAAAGAACCCCGGCGAGGGGAGUGAAAAAGAACCUGAAACCGUGUACGUACAAGCAGUGGGAGCCUCUUAAUGGGGUGACUGCGUACCUUUUGUAUAAUGGGUCAGCGACUUAUAUUCUGUAGCAAGGUUAACCGAAUAGGGGAGCCGAAGGGAAACCGAGUCUUAACUGGGCGUUAAGUUGCAGGGUAUAGACCCGAAACCCGGUGAUCUAGCCAUGGGCAGGUUGAAGGUUGGGUAACACUAACUGGAGGACCGAACCGACUAAUGUUGAAAAAUUAGCGGAUGACUUGUGGCUGGGGGUGAAAGGCCAAUCAAACCGGGAGAUAGCUGGUUCUCCCCGAAAGCUAUUUAGGUAGCGCCUCGUGAAUUCAUCUCCGGGGGUAGAGCACUGUUUCGGCAAGGGGGUCAUCCCGACUUACCAACCCGAUGCAAACUGCGAAUACCGGAGAAUGUUAUCACGGGAGACACACGGCGGGUGCUAACGUCCGUCGUGAAGAGGGAAACAACCCAGACCGCCAGCUAAGGUCCCAAAGUCAUGGUUAAGUGGGAAACGAUGUGGGAAGGCCCAGACAGCCAGGAUGUUGGCUUAGAAGCAGCCAUCAUUUAAAGAAAGCGUAAUAGCUCACUGGUCGAGUCGGCCUGCGCGGAAGAUGUAACGGGGCUAAACCAUGCACCGAAGCUGCGGCAGCGACACUAUGUGUUGUUGGGUAGGGGAGCGUUCUGUAAGCCUGUGAAGGUGGCCUGUGAGGGUUGCUGGAGGUAUCAGAAGUGCGAAUGCUGACAUAAGUAACGAUAAAGCGGGUGAAAAGCCCGCUCGCCGGAAGACCAAGGGUUCCUGUCCAACGUUAAUCGGGGCAGGGUGAGUCGACCCCUAAGGCGAGGCCGAAAGGCGUAGUCGAUGGGAAACAGGUUAAUAUUCCUGUACUUGGUGUUACUGCGAAGGGGGGACGGAGAAGGCUAUGUUGGCCGGGCGACGGUUGUCCCGGUUUAAGCGUGUAGGCUGGUUUUCCAGGCAAAUCCGGAAAACCAAGGCUGAGGCGUGAUGACGAGGCACUACGGUGCUGAAGUGACAAAUGCCCUGCUUCCAGGAAAAGCCUCUAAGCAUCAGGUAACAUCAAAUCGUACCCCAAACCGACACAGGUGGUCAGGUAGAGAAUACCAAGGCGCUUGAGAGAACUCGGGUGAAGGAACUAGGCAAAAUGGUGCCGUAACUUCGGGAGAAGGCACGCUGAUAUGUAGGUGAAGCGACUUGCUCGUGGAGCUGAAAUCAGUCGAAGAUACCAGCUGGCUGCAACUGUUUAUUAAAAACACAGCACUGUGCAAACACGAAAGUGGACGUAUACGGUGUGACGCCUGCCCGGUGCCGGAAGGUUAAUUGAUGGGGUUAGCGGUAACGCGAAGCUCUUGAUCGAAGCCCCGGUAAACGGCGGCCGUAACUAUAACGGUCCUAAGGUAGCGAAAUUCCUUGUCGGGUAAGUUCCGACCUGCACGAAUGGCGUAAUGAUGGCCAGGCUGUCUCCACCCGAGACUCAGUGAAAUUGAACUCGCUGUGAAGAUGCAGUGUACCCGCGGCAAGACGGAAAGACCCCGUGAACCUUUACUAUAGCUUGACACUGAACAUUGAGCCUUGAUGUGUAGGAUAGGUGGGAGGCUUUGAAGUGUGGACGCCAGUCUGCAUGGAGCCGACCUUGAAAUACCACCCUUUAAUGUUUGAUGUUCUAACGUUGGCCCGUAAUCCGGGUUGCGGACAGUGUCUGGUGGGUAGUUUGACUGGGGCGGUCUCCUCCUAAAGAGUAACGGAGGAGCACGAAGGUUGGCUAAUCCUGGUCGGACAUCAGGAGGUUAGUGCAAUGGCAUAAGCCAGCUUGACUGCGAGCGUGACGGCGCGAGCAGGUGCGAAAGCAGGUCAUAGUGAUCCGGUGGUUCUGAAUGGAAGGGCCAUCGCUCAACGGAUAAAAGGUACUCCGGGGAUAACAGGCUGAUACCGCCCAAGAGUUCAUAUCGACGGCGGUGUUUGGCACCUCGAUGUCGGCUCAUCACAUCCUGGGGCUGAAGUAGGUCCCAAGGGUAUGGCUGUUCGCCAUUUAAAGUGGUACGCGAGCUGGGUUUAGAACGUCGUGAGACAGUUCGGUCCCUAUCUGCCGUGGGCGCUGGAGAACUGAGGGGGGCUGCUCCUAGUACGAGAGGACCGGAGUGGACGCAUCACUGGUGUUCGGGUUGUCAUGCCAAUGGCACUGCCCGGUAGCUAAAUGCGGAAGAGAUAAGUGCUGAAAGCAUCUAAGCACGAAACUUGCCCCGAGAUGAGUUCUCCCUGAGACUUAGAGUCUCCUGAAGGAACGUUGAAGACGACGACGUUGAUAGGCCGGGUGUGUAAGCGCAGCGAUGCGUUGAGCUAACCGGUACUAAUGAACCGUGAGGCUUAACCUU
rnacentral:rRNA from 1 species